AUUCCAGCUCCAAUAGCGUAUACUAAAGUUGUUGCAGUUAAAAAGCUCGUAGUUGAAUUUCUGGUCGUGGCGAUCGGUCCGCCCCUCACGGGGUGUGCACCUGGUCUCUACGUCCAUCCUCGGGGAGAGCGCGUCUGGCAUUCAGUUGUCGGGUGUGGGAUCCUCGUCAUUUACUGUGAGCAAAAUAGAGUGUUCAAAGCAGGCUUAGGCCGUUGAAUACAUUAGCAUGGAAUAAUAAGAUAGGACCUUGGUCUAUUUUGUUGGUUUGCAUUCCAAGGUAAUGAUUAAUAGGGAUAGUUGGGGGUAUUCGUAUUCAAUUGUCAGAGGUGAAAUUCUUGGAUUUAUGGAAGACGAACUACUGCGAAAGCAUUUACCAAGGAUGUUUUCAUCA
rnacentral:rRNA from 1 species